CUAUGUAUACAUGGGAGCUUACAGCUAGGUAGGCUGAGAAAGAUGCCAGCAUCUGACCAUACCUGAUCUGGAUAAUGCCAGCGUAGGGACGUUACAAUGUACAUGC
rnacentral:ncRNA from 2 species